AUUGAACGCUGGCGGCAGGCCUAACACAUGCAAGUCGAGCGGAUGAAGGGAGCUUGCUCCUGGAUUCAGCGGCGGACGGGUGAGUAAUGCCUAGGAAUCUGCCUGGUAGUGGGUGAUAACGUCCGGAAACGGGCGCUAAUACCGCAUACGUCCUGAGGGAGAAAGUGUGGGAUCUUCGGACCUCACGCUAUCAGAUGAGCCUAGGUCGGAUUAGCUAGUUGGUGGGGUAAAGGCCUACCAAGGCGACGAUCCGUAACUGGUCUGAGAGGAUGAUCAGUCACACUGGAACUGAGACACGGUCCAGACUCCUACGGGAGGCAGCAGUGGGGAAUAUUGGACAAUGGGCGAAAGCCUGAUCCAGCCAUGCCGCGUGUGUGAAGAAGGUCUUCGGACUGUAAAGCACUUUAAGUUGGGAGGAAGGGCAGUAAGUUAAUACCUUGCUGUUUUGACGUUACCAACAGAACAAGCACCGGCUAACUUCGUG
rnacentral:rRNA from 1 species